rnacentral:lncRNA from 1 species
CACUGACUGAAACCGCCCCACCCUGGCCAGGCACCAUAGUAACCAUCUGCAUGAGUUGUUUUAUGACAGGAGAUCCUGAUAAAGAAUACAGAACUAAUAAGCCUCCACCAACCGGAAGAGUUCGGGAAAGGUUUAAAGGAGACACCGCCUGUACAUUGCAAGCCACGCGGCAGAGCAGUUCUCCUGGGUUUCCUUACCCUACUGCUCUCCACCCGGGGGCCCUUUCCCAAUAAAAUCUCUUGCUUUGUCAGCACAUAUGUCUCCUUGGACAAUUCAUUUCUGAGUGUUAGGCAAGAGCCCAGUUUCGGGCCCUGGAAGGGGUCCCUCUUCCUGCAACAAAUAGUGACUCUGGUGGGAUUCUUCUUCACCGAGACUGACAUCCUGACCACUCGGGGUACUCAGGGGCCAGCUUGCCUGCCAAUGGACCAGACCCAGCGGCCCAAACUGGGAUCCUUUUGUCCCUGGUCUCCUCCUGACGCAGACAACAGGCCACAGUGCCCCGACAGGAACACCCUAAGUUUGUUUCUGAAGCUUAUCUCAGUAAUCUAUCUUUGGAUGAAGAUCAGAUGCCUCAUGACCUGCAACCAGGACUGGAAAAAGACAUACUUUAAGGGACUGUCUCCAACAUGGAUGGAAAGACUUUUUUAUCAGGAGAAACUACACUACACCAGGAUGAGAAGACGACGACAUCAGAGAGAUCCCACGAGAUGAAAAGAAACAAAAUAGCAAAGAGGUGAAACAGACAGGAACAUCUCUCUCACAAAUAUAGCUCAGAGCCUGGAUGAGAGGAAAGCAGAAACAUAGGUCACAAAGGUGAUCACAACUCAAAGCACAGCAGCCCUGUGGCCCUCACUGAUGGGCCCCACGACACCGCACUCCACAGACCACGACAUGACCACAGUGCCAACAAAGCCGUGAACCUGGAGUCAGCUGUUGCUCUUCCAAUUCUAAUUUUUGCUGUUCACAAACACAGAUAGUUUAGCCUCUUGGAAUCUCAGCUUUAAUCACAAAAUGAAGAUAAUCAGCUUGCCGCUUCUUGCCACCAUGUUGAGUAUGAAAACGGUCUUCGAAAUAAAGUGUGAUCAUAUAAACAAUCAAGGAAUAUUACUUAGCUGAUAAUUAGUAUGUGUUUGCGUGCAAGUGUUAGUCACUCAGUCCUGUCCAACUCUUUGUGACCCCAUGGGCUGUAAGCUUACCAGGCUCAGGUUGCCAUUUCCUUCUCCAGGGGAUUUUCCUGACACAGAGAUUGAACCCCGCAAUGUCUCUGGCGUUGCAGGCAGGUUCUUCACCAUCUGAGCCAUCAGCGAAGCCCCUAAUAAUUAGUGUGUGGUACGCUUAGUCACUCAGUCAUGUCUGACUCUUUGUGACCCCAUGGACUGUAGCCAACCAGGCUCCUCUGUCCAUGGGGAUUCUCCAGGCAAGAAUAUUGGAGUGGGGACCUUCCCAACCCAGAUCUCCUGCAUUUCAGGCGGAUUCUUCACUGUCUGAGGCACUAGGGAAACC